rnacentral:misc_RNA from 1 species
GAUGAAGAACGUAGCGAAAUGCGAUAAGUAAUGUGAAUUGCAGAAUUCAGUGAAUCAUCGAAUCUUUGAACGCACAUUGCGCCCGCCAGUAUUCUGGCGGGCAUGCCUGUUCGAGCGUCAUUUCAACCCUCAGGGCCCUUUUGGACCUGGCGUUGGGGCUCGGCCGCUACCCUGCGGCCGUCCCCGAAAGAUAGUGGCGGUCUCGCUGUAGCCUCCUCUGCGUAGUAGUUACAUCUCGCACUGGAACGCGGCGCGGCCAUGCCGUUAAACACCCCACUUCUCAAGGUUGACCUCGGAUCAGGUAGGAAUACCCGCAGAACUUAAGCAUAUCAAUAAGCGGAGGA